rnacentral:rRNA from 1 species
GGUUAAGCGACUAAGCGUACACGGUGGAUGCCCUGGCAGUCAGAGGCGAUGAAGGACGUGCUAAUCUGCGAUAAGCGCCGGUAAGGUGAUAUGAACCGUUAUAACCGGCGAUUUCCGAAUGGGGAAACCCAGUGUGACUCGUCACACUAUCAUUAACUGAAUCCAUAGGUUAAUGAGGCGAACCGGGGGAACUGAAACAUCUAAGUACCCCGAGGAAAAGAAAUCAACCGAGAUUCCCCCAGUAGCGGCGAGCGAACGGGGAGGAGCCCAGAGCCUGAAUCAGCAUGUGUGUUAGUGGAAGCGUCUGGAAAGGCGCGCGAUACAGGGUGACAGCCCCGUACACAAAAGCGCAUAUGCUGUGAGCUCGAUGAGUAGGGCGGGACACGUGGUAUCCUGUCUGAAUAUGGGGGGACCAUCCUCCAAGGCUAAAUACUCCUGACUGACCGAUAGUGAACCAGUACCGUGAGGGAAAGGCGAAAAGAACCCCGGCGAGGGGAGUGAAAAAGAACCUGAAACCGUGUACGUACAAGCAGUGGGAGCACCCUUUUGGGUGUGACUGCGUACCUUUUGUAUAAUGGGUCAGCGACUUAUAUUCUGUAGCAAGGUUAACCGAAUAGGGGAGCCGGAGGGAAACCGAGUCUUAAUUGGGCGUUAAGUUGCAGGGUAUAGACCCGAAACCCGGUGAUCUAGCCAUGGGCAGGUUGAAGGUUGGGUAACACUAACUGGAGGACCGAACCGACUAAUGUUGAAAAAUUAGCGGAUGACCUGUGGCUGGGGGUGAAAGGCCAAUCAAACCGGGAGAUAGCUGGUUCUCCCCGAAAGCUAUUUAGGUAGCGCCUCGUGAAUUCAUCUCCGGGGGUAGAGCACUGUUUCGGCUAGGGGGCCAUCCCGGCUUACCAACCCGAUGCAAACUGCGAAUACCGGAGAAUGUUAUCACGGGAGACACACGGCGGGUGCUAACGUCCGUCGUGAAGAGGGAAACAACCCAGACCGCCAGCUAAGGUCCCAAAGUCAUGGUUAAGUGGGAAACGAUGUGGGAAGGCCCAGACAGCCAGGAUGUUGGCUUAGAAGCAGCCAUCAUUUAAAGAAAGCGUAAUAGCUCACUGGUCGAGUCGGCCUGCGCGGAAGAUGUAACGGGGCUAAACCAU